CCAAUAGCGUAUAUUAAAGUUGUUGCAGUUAAAAAGCUCGUAGUUGAAUUUCGGGGUCAGUAGGUCGGUCGUGCCACUGGUAUGAACUGGUUUUACUGAUUCCUCCCUCUUGAAGAACUGUAAUGCCAUUAAUUUGGUGUUGCAGGGAAUCAGGACUGUUACUUUGAAAAAAUUGGAGUGUUUAAAGCAGGCUUUAGCUUGAAUACAUUAGCAUGGAAUAAUGAAAUAGGACGUUUGAUCCUAUUUUGUUGGUUUCUAGGAUUGACGUAAUGAUUAAUAGGGAUAGUUGGGGGCAUUAGUAUUCAAUUGUCAGAGGUGAAAUUCUUGGAUUUAUUGAAGACUAACUACUGCGAAAGCAUUUGCCAAGGAUGUUUUCAUUAAUCAAGAACGAAUGUUAGGGGAUCGAAGACGAUCAGAUACCGUCGUAGUCUUAACCAUAAACUAUGCCGACUAGGGAUCGGAUGAUGUUAAUUUUUUAAUGACUCAUUCGGCGCCUUACG
rnacentral:rRNA from 1 species